AUGUCAUCAUCUCAUGCCUGUCUUCUAAUAAUAUUUACUGUAUGUUUUAAAUUGUAUUAAGCUGGUCUACUGCAAAGAAAUCUGAUUACUCCUUGGAAUGCAACACAUACUGUAUUUAUUUAUUUGGGACUUUUUUUUCUGGACAAAUGUACUCAUUUUGUUGCUUUACAGUGUAUCAUUUUGGAUUUUACAUGUGGUAGAGCUGAGACCUGCGACAUUCCUGCAACAGAGGGUGUCAUCCAUAAUAGGUUGAGGUUAUACAGUUAGAAAAUGUAAACCUUUUGACUUUGUCUCAGAAUGGUUGAAUUUUACUGUGUCAUCAAAACUGAUUAUCCCUGAAGCUUCAGGCAGUACUGUAAUACUGAAUGGUUGCUCUCUCAAUGCAUGUGGUUGCAUUUGACAGCAUAUGGUUUUAUAAAUAAACCUUAAAUGUAUAAAACUCA